CCAACAGGGAUUGCCCUAGUAACGGCGAGUGAAGCGGCAACAGCUCAAAUUUGAAAUCUGGCUCUUUCAGAGUCCGAGUUGUAAUUUGCAGAGGGCGCUUUGGCUUUGGCAGCGGUCCAAGUUCCUUGGAACAGGACGUCACAGAGGGUGAGAAUCCCGUACGUGGUCGCUAGCUAUUGCCGUGUAAAGCCCCUUCGACGAGUCGAGUUGUUUGGGAAUGCAGCUCUAAAUGGGAGGUAAAUUUCUUCUAAAGCUAAAUAUUGGCCAGAGACCGAUAGCGCACAAGUAGAGUGAUCGAAAGAUGAAAAGCACUUUGGAAAGAGAGUCAAACAGCACGUGAAAUUGUUGAAAGGGAAGCGCUUGCAGCCAGACUUGCUUGCAGUUGCUCAUCCGGGCUUUUGCCCGGUGCACUCUUCUGUAGGCAGGCCAGCAUCAGUUUGGGCGGUGGGAUAAAGGUCUCUGUCACGUACCUCUCUUCGGGGAGGCCUUAUAGGGGAGACGACAUACCACCAGCCUAGACUGAGGUCCGCGCAUCUGCUAGGAUGCUGGCGUAAUGGCUGUAAGCGGCCCGUCUUGAAACACGGACCAAGGAGUCUAACAUCUAUGCGAGUGUUUGGGUGUCAAGCCCGAGCGCGUAAUGAAAGUGAACGGAGGUGGGAACCCGCAAGGGUGCACCAUCGACCGAUCCUGAAGUUUACGGAAGGAUUUGAGUAAGAGCAUGGCUGUUGGGACCCGAAAGAUGGUGAACUAUGCUUGAAUAGGGUGAAGCCAGAGGAAACUCUGGUGGAGGCUCGCAGCGGUUCUGACGUGCAAAUCGAUCGUCAAAUUUGGGCAUAGGGGCGAAAGACUAAUCGAACUUUUUGGUCGUUGGUUCCUGCCGAGCCCUCUUCGUAAAGAGAAAAAACCCCACCGCGUAACUAAGAUAAGUUCGCGAAUAGGUCUUUCGCGCCUAAU
rnacentral:rRNA from 1 species